rnacentral:rRNA from 1 species
AGCAAAUAGAUACCCGGGUAGUCCACGCCGUAAACGAUGGAUACUAGCUGUUCGGAGCAAUCUGAGUGGCUAAAGCGAAAAAAGUGAUAAGUAUCCCACCUGGGGAGUACGCACGCAAGUGUGAAACUCAAAGGAAUUGACGGGGGCCCGCACAAGCGGUGGAGCAUGUGGUUUAAUUCGAUGAUACGCGAGGAACCUUACCAGGGCUUAAAUGUAGAUUGACAGGACUGGAAACAGUUUUUCUUCGGACAAUUUACAAGGUGCUGCAUGGUUGUCGUCAGCUCGUGCCGUGAGGUGUCAGGUUAAGUCCUAUAACGAGCGCAACCCCUGUCGUUAGUUGCCAGCGAGUCAUGUCGGGAACUCUAACGAGACUGCCAGUGUAAACUGUGAGGAAGGUGGGGAUGACGUCAAAUCAUCACGGCCCUUACGUCCUGGGCCACACACGUGCUACAAUGGUAGGUACAGAGAGCAGCCACUGCGCGAGCAGGAGCGAAUCUACAAAACCUAUCUCAGUUCGGAUCGGAGU